AUUGGCGGGGCUUUUGUCUCUCGCUGCAGCCAGAGCUUGGGAUCCCUUUCUGCUGUUCAACGUCCUCCACCUCUGCCCCCCUCUCCCCCAAGCCGGUGACAGGCUGUUGCCCUGUGAUCUGCAGGUCCUGGGACGUGCACAGCUAAGAUGCCAGGACAUUCUAGAAGGUGGGAAAGGGGAACGUCACUCCUGUGGAUGAUCAAAGCUACUCAGGGGGCUGAGGCAGGAGAAUCGCUUGAACUCGGGAAGCAGACGUUGCAGUGAGCCAAGGUCGCACCACUGCACUCCAGCCCAGGCAACAGUGUGAGACUCCACAUCAAAAAGAAAAAGAAAAAAAGUGUACUAACAAGACCCAGCACACAGAGGAGACUUUUACCAUUAUAUGAACACCCAUCAAACAGUACACAUCAUCAUUGUGAGUUCUGAAUCUCACACAUAGAGGAAGUCAAAGGUGGAAAAAUUGACUCUCAUAGUUGGAUCCAGUCCACAGGUGUGAUUUUGACACACACUUCUGCCUAGCACCUGAGUAAUGUGAUUCUUCAGAAUUGGCC
rnacentral:lncRNA from 1 species